GACCUAAUAUCAAAUGGACAGGCCCUUAGAGAGAAAUUCUGGCAUGCCGCAUAUGAAAGAGAGAGAUGGAGCUAGAUGAGUCAACGUCAAAAUCAUAUGAUCAAAACAUUGAACUCACAUUCAGAAAAUCGCUAAUUUUUCUCUCAUUCUGAAUUGAACACAUAGUUAAUCUGAUUGAUUCGAUUUGUAAAAGUGUUGAACAUUCUAAUAAAAGGAAUUAGCGAAUCCAUCUGCUAUUACGAAAUUCAAAGCACCAAAAGAACUAAUUUUCAAAUAAAAUGCCUCACACUCGUGCAGCCUUCAAUUGUACAGCGAGAUUAGAAAAAAGCCAAAAGUUGAAAUUUCAUUCUUCACAGUUUUCCAAAGGAUGCGAAUUAAGGGAACAGUAGAUGAAAGCUGAAGAAGAAUUGAUUUCAACCCUUUUUCCUUGUUGAAAAUAUGCAGCAACCGUUUUCAUCAACAUAAUUUAUUAAUAUUCAUGGUACAAAAACUCUGAAAAAAGAUGUUAUUCCUUCAGUUUUCAGUUUCUCCAAUUAUAUGCCUGAGAGAUUAAAUUAUGGAGAUAAAUGUCUUGAAGAUAAUAUUGAAGGUACAUUAAUAUUUUAUUUUUUAUGGAUGUGAAAUAUCUAUUUAUUUUCCGUCCCUUAUUUUAUUCAUUCAUAUAAAUAAUUAUUGCAAAAGAAAUUGAACAGGACCAGCCAGAGACAAAACAGCAAGAGAUGGGGCAACCAGAGACGGUACAACUGUUUAUAAUAUCAAAAUCCUCUGCUGCUGCCAUGGAAGAUUUUUCCCCAAGAUUGAAUACUAAUAUUAGAAAUACUAGAAAUUAGAAACCUGGGAAUGAGGAUUUCCAAGAAUGGAACACUAGACGAAGUAAUAUCUGAGAGAAACAUCCAAAGAAAACCAAUAAUCUCAAUGUUAAAUAGGAUAUUAUCGAUUAAAAACAUAAAUGUGAAUAAUAAGAAAAAAUGUACUUAAUAAUUAGGAGCAUAAUAACAUACAGCUCUGAAGUGAACAGCAGCUGGAAAAUCUGAAAGGGACAUGAUACCAAAUGAUACAAUAAGACAUAGAAUGGAAAUAAGACAUGAUAUUAUUGAUCUUAAGAACACAACAGUUGGUUUGGUACAGACAAGUCCAUAAAUACUUAUGAUACUAGGUGUGAUUUAAAUGAUAAUAAUUUUUUUAGAUUGCCAUACUAAAUGAGGAACAUAUUCUGUGCCGUGGCUUAAAAAUUCAUCUUUAGGGAAGCUCAUUCACUGAAAGGCUGAAAAUGGGAAAAAUGAAUGUAUCAUAACUGAUCCUUGGAGAGAUAAGGAGAAGAAGAUUCAUAAAUUUCAAGAUUUGGAGGAGUUUAGAACUAAGAAGAGGAAGAGCUCAAUCCUGAUAUUUUUCAAUAUCCUGGAUAUUAAAUGAUUGGAAGAGUGAAUAUCCUCCUUAGUGGAGAGUGAGAAAUCCGACUGCGAAUAUGUUCUUCCUCAUGCGCUGAUAGGCUAGAGUCGGACCAUUUUUUAAAUCAUUUAUUGUAAUAAUGUAUUUUGAACAGCAAUGAAAACUUAAUGAAUACAAUUCUUCAUAAAC